rfam:Ciona savignyi cont_27789, whole genome shotgun sequence.
CCUUCGAUAGCUCAGUUGGUAGAGCGGUGGACUGUAGAAGUUGAGAUGGUUAUCCAUAGGUCGCUGGUUCGAAUCCGGCUAGAAGGA